GACGAACGCUGGCGGCGUGCUUAACACAUGCAAGUCGAACGGAAAGGCUCCAGCUUGCUGGAGUACUCGAGUGGCGAACGGGUGAGUAACACGUGGGUAAUCUGCCCUGCACUCUGGGAUAAGCCUGGGAGACUGGGUCUAAUACUGGAUAUGACCUUUCUCCUUAUGGGGUUUGGUGGAAAGUUUUUCGGUUUAGGAUGAGCCCGCGGCUUAUCAGCUUGUUGGUGGGGUGAUGGCCUACCAACGCGACGACGGGUAGCCGGCCUGAGACGGUGAUAGGCCACAGCGCGACUGAGAUACGGCCCAGACGCAUACCUUAAGCAACAGUGGGGAAUAUUGCACAGUGGGCGGAAGGCUGAUGCAGAGACGGCGCGAGAGGGAAAACGGCCUUCUGAGUGUAAACCUCUUUCAGCAGACACGAGCCGUAAUUGACGGUACCUGCAGAGGAACCACCGGCUAACUCCGUG
rnacentral:rRNA from 1 species